CAUGACGGCCAUGAUUGCAUCAACUUUUAUUGCACAAGAAAAAUAUAGAUUUAAUAUUUUUUUAGAACACACGCACACACGCACGGAUUAGCAACAGAAAUGGACAGCUAUGAAGAUUAAUUGCUACUGAUAUAACAAUUAAUAUAAAUAUAAAAAGCAUACCAUCUGCUUGGUCUGUUGGAGAACGAGGAAGCUCAAUUAUAUAGAGAAACUCGAAGGCAUUGAGAAUGGGUGG
rnacentral:misc_RNA from 1 species